rnacentral:lncRNA from 1 species
GGCUGAUACAUAUUUUUCUAGGAUAUACUUUAUACUUGAUGGAUAGUCUUUAUAACCAAUCAUGUCUUAUGUGUCCAUGAUUUGUCCUAGAAACUAAUAAAGAUGAUUUUGUAUAUUCUCAAGGUGUUGAGAAUUUGAGACAUACAUCAUUACUGGUUAAUUUUUAAAUACUUCCGAUCGAAGGAUCGUCAUGGAGGACAGUGAUCAAUCCA